AAAAGAUGCCAUGUUUCAUGAUGAAGAGACCAUAGGAGUUUUCAUGAAAAGAUGCAAGUAUUUUUCAUUCUGGAUCAGUGGUAAUCGAUUACCUAAAAUUGGGUAGCCGGUUACAUGCAUUCAACGUUACAAAAUAAUUUGAAUUUUGCUUGAGGUAACCGGUUACUUAAAAUAGGAUAACCGGUUACAUGGUUCUAAAGUUUAAAAAAA
rnacentral:lncRNA from 1 species